rnacentral:rRNA from 1 species
GAGUUUGAUCCUGGCUCAGGAUGAACGCUGGCGGCGUGCCUAAUACAUGCAAGUCGAACGCUUCACUUCGGUGAAGAGUGGCGAACGGGUGAGUAAUACAUAAGUAACCUGGCAUCUACAGGGGGAUAACUGAUGGAAACGUCAGCUAAGACCGCAUAGGUGUAGAGAUCGCAUGAACUCUAUAUGAAAAGUGCUACGGGACUGGUAGAUGAUGGACUUAUGGCGCAUUAGCUGGUUGGUAGGGUAACGGCCUACCAAGGCGACGAUGCGUAGCCGACCUGAGAGGGUGACCGGCCACACUGGGACUGAGACACGGCCCAGACUCCUACGGGAGGCAGCAGUAGGGAAUUUUCGGCAAUGGGGGAAACCCUGACCGAGCAACGCCGCGUGAAGGAAGAAGUAAUUCGUUAUGUAAACUUCUGUCAUAGAGGAAGAACGGUGGAUAUAGGGAAUGAUAUCCAAGUGACGGUACUCUAUAAGAAAGCCACGGCUAACUACGUGCCAGCAGCUGCGGUAAUACGUAGGUGGCGAGCGUUAUCCGGAAUUAUUGGGCGUAAAGAGGGAGCAGGCGGCACUAAGGGUCUGUGGUGAAAGAUCGAAGCUUAACUUCGGUAAGCCAUGGAAACCGUAGAGCUAGAGUGUGUGAGAGGAUCGUGGAAUUCCAUGUGUAGCGGUGAAAUGCGUAGAUAUAUGGAGGAACACCAGUGGCGAAGGCGACGAUCUGGCGCAUAACUGACGCUCAGUCCCGAAAGCGUGGGGAGCAAAUAGGAUUAGAUACCCUAGUAGUCCACGCCGUAAACGAUGAGUACUAAGUGUUGGGAGUCAAAUCUCAGUGCUGCAGUUAACGCAAUAAGUACUCCGCCUGAGUAGUACGUUCGCAAGAAUGAAACUCAAAUGAA